GACGAACGCUGGCGGCGUGCCUAAUACAUGCAAGUUGAGCGCUGAAGGUUGGUACUUGUACCAACUGGAUGAGCAGCGAACGGGUGAGUAACGCGUGGGGAAUCUGCCUUUGGGCGGGGGACAACAUUUGAAAACGAAUGCUAAUACCGCAUAAAAACUUUAAACACAAGUUUUAAGUUUGAAAGAUGCAAUUGCAUCACUCAAAGAUGAUCCCGCGUUGUAUUAGCUAGUUGGUGAGGUAAAGGCUCACCAAGGCGAUGAUACAUAGCCGACCUGAGAGGGUGAUCGGCCACAUUGGGACUGAGACACGGCCCAAACUCCUACGGGAGGCAGCAGUAGGGAAUCUUCGGCAAUGGACGAAAGUCUGACCGAGCAACGCCGCGUGAGUGAAGAAGGUUUUCGGAUCGUAAAACUCUGUUGGUAGAGAAGAACGUUGGUGAGAGUGGAAAGCUCAUCAAGUGACGGUAACUACCCAGAAAGGGACGGCUAACUACGUG
rnacentral:rRNA from 1 species